AUACGGAGGGGGCUAUCGUUGUUCGGAUUUACUGGGCGUAAAGCGCACGCAGGCGGUUCUUCUAGUUAGGCGUGAAAGGCCUGGGCUCAACCCGGGAACUGCGCUUAAUACUGUUGAGCUAGAGUCCGGGAGAGGAUGGCGGAAUUCCCAGUGUAGAGGUGAAAUUCGUAGAUAUUGGGAAGAACACCAGUGGCGAAGGCGGCCAUCUGGUCCGGUACUGACGCUGAGGUGCGAAAGCGUGGGGAGCAAACAGGAUUAGAUACCCGGGUAGUCC
rnacentral:rRNA from 1 species